AGCCUGCCUGGUGGAAGUGCCUGCUGCAGACCCUGGGGUGUGGUUCUGGAGCCCAGCAGCUUCCUGCAGGCUCCGGGAUUGGGCAAGGAGGAGCCCUCCAGCCUCGGAGAUAGCAGCAGCCAAGCUGGAUCUAAGGCAGAGGAGGAGACAGAGCUGUCCCUCUGGGGUUGCACAUGACAGGGUGGGGGAUGGGGGUCACUGGCUGUCA